GAGGGUAUGGCUCAGUGGUAGAGUGUGUGUUCAGCAUGCAUGAGGUCGUGGGUUCAAUUCCCAGUACCUCCA
rfam:Camelus ferus unplaced genomic scaffold scaffold1577, whole genome shotgun sequence.